rnacentral:lncRNA from 1 species
UGUAUAUAGAGAUUUCCAUCCAUAGUUACCUGGCUUCAAAGCAUUGCAGCAGGGCAGAGAGGCAUGGCAGAGGAGAAACAGUCCAUGGCAUGGUAGCAGGAAACGAAGAUCAAGGGAGAAACAGGGAGAUGGGCACUUCCAGAAAACACCCAGUUCUUGCUGCAACAUUUGGCACUGCUGACUGCUUCCCACUUCUCCACGUGACUCUGGGGAACACCCCUCACUCUCCCAGGCAGGAUCGGGAAAAGGUCCUGAACGAAGAGAGAGAAGCAAGCGUCUCCACGGCUCACUAAGAACAAAGCAAGCCCAGCAAGCCGCAGCUCUUGCCGAUCUGACUGGUGACUGUAAGAUCCAAAGAAGCUGCAGAGCUCCUGAUUGCACUAAGGCACCCGGCCUUCCCACCCUGUAGCAGGCUUGUGGCUACAACGGUGGGGGGAUCUUGGAUUCAUUCAGAUCACAUGCACGCAAGAGGGAGGUUGUUGGCUCUGUCCUCAGCCCUGCACUUAGCAACUGAGAGCCCCAUGCCAAAAAGCACGUUUUUAAUUCCUGGAGCUGCAUUACAAAGGCACCCACGUCUCCAGCAAUCCCUACACAAAUGCGGCUCAGACUCCCAACUGGAUGAAGUUUUAGCGUUCCCAGAAACAUAAAUAACUCAAUAGUCAGGAAACCAAUGAUUAAAAACAAAUCUGGCCCAUUCUUAGGCGUUAUUUCAAGUAGAACAUACAAAGGGUAAAUACACUGAUUUAUUUCUUCCAUUUCUCAAGAGAGUGAAGUCCUCUGAGUUGGGACACAGUGGCUGGAACGUCCUGUUUUAUUCUAGAAACACAUUUUCUCUUGACACAGAAGAGCUCGUGCGGAGAAGCAGCUCGGGAUCUGGAAAAGACCCUCAGGGAAGCCAUGCAUUUGCUGGAUACGCCCCCCGGCCCCCCAUGCAAGCAUGGAAUAAGAAAGCGUGCAGACACACGUGUACACACACACACACACACACACACACACACACAGAAGGCCAAGGCAGGUGGACUUGAGACUUUCACUUGAGACAAGGUAGGCGGUCCAUUCGGAGGCAGGAUUGUAGGUCAGGGGUUAGCGACUGCGACUUGGACUCGAUCCCAGCGGAGCUGGCCAGACUGGACUCUGAGUCCGAAGAGGGUGAGGGGCGGAGAGCGGGUCGGGGGGCGGAGGUCCCGCGAGGU